rnacentral:tRNA from 1 species
CGCGGGAUGCAGCAGUCCGGUAGCUCGUCAGGCUAAUAACCUGAAGGUCGUAGGUUCAAAUCCUACUCCUGCAACCA